rnacentral:tRNA from 1 species
GCUUUCGUUGUGUAGUAGUCAGCACGCUCGGCGUGUAUUCGAGAGGUUCGUGGUUUGAUUCCCGGCGAGGGCA